rnacentral:rRNA from 1 species
GGGGAAAAAUUAAUUAAUUAUAAUUAAUAAAAAUAAUUUUAAUUUAUUUAAUAAUUUAAUGGGGGUUAAAGUAUUAUUUAAAGAAAAAAUUAAUAAUUUUAUAGUUUAAUAGUAUUGUGGAAGAAAUUUGAAAUAAGAAUGAAAAUAAAUUUAUAAUAAAGUAAUUUUUAUUUAUUGUAUCUUGUGUAUCAGAGUUUAUUAAAAUUUUUUAAUUUAAUUUUAAAUUCUCGAAUUUAAAAGAGUUAAAUAAUUAUAAAAGUUAUUGUAGCAAAAUUAUUUUAAAUAAUUAUUUUGAAAUGAAAUGUUAUUCGUUUUUAAAUAUAUCUAGUUUUUUUAGAAAAAAAUUUAAUUUUAAAUUUAUUAAAUAAUUAAAUUAAAUAGUUAAUUUAAUUAUUAAUAAAUUUUAUAUUUUAGGGGAUAAGCUUUAAAUUAAAUUUUUAUAAUAAAAUUUAUUUAUUUGAAAAUUUUAUGAUUUAUAUUGUUAAUAAAUUUUAUUUUAUUAUAAAUAAUUUCAUUUUAGUUAAAAUUUAAAUUUAAAAUUUAAUUUUUUAUAAAAAUAAAUUUUUUAAUAGAAAAAAUAUUGAAAUAAUGAUAAAAUUAGUAUAUUAAAUAGUAUUAAUAAUUAUUUUAAAUUAUUUUUAAUAAUUAAAUUAAUUAAAAGGAAUUCGGCAAAUAUUUAUUUUCACUUGUUUAUCAAAAACAUGUCUUUUUGAUAUUUAUUUAAAGUCUAAUCUGCCCACUGAAAUUUUUAAAGGGCUGCAGUAUUUUGACUGUACAAAGGUAGCAUAAUCAUUAGUCUCUUAAUUGGUGACUUGUAUGAAAGAUUGAAUGAAAAAUAUACUGUCUCUUAAUUAUUUUAUAGAAUUUAAUUUUUUAUUUAAAAAGUUAAAAUAAAUUAAAAAGACGAGAAGACCCUAUAGAGUUUUAUAAAUAUUUGUGUAAAUUAAUUGUUUAUUUAUUUGAAAAUUUUUAUAAAUUUAUUUAUUUUGUUGGGGUGAUAAAAAAAUAAAUUAAACUUUUUUUAAUAAAAAAUUAACAUAGCUAAAUGUAAUUAUGAUCCAGUUAUAUUGAUUAAAAGAUUAAAUUACCUUAGGGAUAACAGCGUAAUUUUUUUUUUUAGUUCAAAUAAGAAAAAAAGUUUGCGACCUCGAUGUUGGAUUAAGAUAAAAUUUAAAUGUAGAAGUUUAAAAUUUUUGAUCUGUUCGAUCAUUAAAAUCUUACAUGAUCUGAGUUCAAACCGGUGUGAGCCAGGUUGGUUUCUAUCUUUUAAAAUAUUAAAUAAUUUAGUACGAAAGGAUCAAUUAUUUUAAUUAAAUUAUUUUAUUUGUAUAUUAUUAAUUAAAAUUAAAAAUUUUGAAAUUACUAUUUUGGCAGAAAAAAUGUAAU